UACGUAGGUGGCAAGCGUUAUCCGGAAUUAUUGGGCGUAAAGCGCGCGUAGGCGGUUUUUUAAGUCUGAUGUGAAAGCCCACGGCUCAACCGUGGAGGGUCAUUGGAAACUGGAAAACUUGAGUGCAGAAGAGGAAAGUGGAAUUCCAUGUGUAGCGGUGAAAUGCGCAGAGAUAUGGAGGAACGCCAGUGGCGAAGGCGACUUUCUGGUCUGUAACUGACGCUGAUGUGCGAAAGCGUGGGGAUCAAACAGGAUUAGAUACCCUGGUAGUCAAGGGCG
rnacentral:rRNA from 1 species